CGCGGCCUAUCAGCUUGUUGGUGAGGUAAUGGCUUACCAAGGCGACGACGGGUAGCCGGCCUGAGAGGGCGAUCGGCCACACUGGGACUGAGACACGGCCCAGACUCCUACGGGAGGCAGCAGUGGGGAAUAUUGCACAAUGGGCGAAAGCCUGAUGCAGCGACGCCGCGUGAGGGAUGAAGGCCUUCGGGUUGUAAACCUCUUUCAGCAGGGAAGAAGCAGCCGGGUUCUCUUGGUUGUGACGGUACCUGCAGAAGAAGCACCGGCUAACUACGUGCCAGCAGCCGCGGUAAUACGUAGGGUGCAAGCGUUGUCCGGAAUUAUUGGGCGUAAAGAGCUUGUAGGCGGUUUGUCGCGUCUGCUGUGAAAUUUCGGGGCUCAACCCCGAACUUGCAGUGGGUACGGGCAGACUAGAGUGUGGUAGGGGUGACUGGAAUUCCUGGUGUAGCGGUGAAAUGCGCAGAUAUCAGGAGGAACACCGAUGGCGAAGGCAGGUCUCUGGGCCACUACUGACGCUGAGAAGCGAAAGCAUGGGGAGCGAACAGGAUUAGAUACCCUGGUAGUCCAUGCCGUAAACGUUGGGAACUAGGUGUGGGCCUCAUUCCACGAGGUCCGUGCCGCAGCUAACGCAUUAAGUUCCCCGCCUGGGGAGUACGG
rnacentral:rRNA from 1 species